rnacentral:rRNA from 1 species
GACGAACGCUGGCGGCGUGCCUAACACAUGCAAGUCGAGCGAAUGAAGUUCCUUCGGGAAUGGAUUUAGCGGCGGACGGGUGAGUAACACGUGGGCAACCUGCCUCAUAGAGGGGAAUAGCCUCCCGAAAGGGAGAUUAAUACCGCAUAAGAUUGUAGUACCGCAUGAUACAGCAAUUAAAGGAGCAAUCCGCUAUGAGAUGGGCCCGCGGCGCAUUAGCUAGUUGGUGAGGUAAUGGCUCACCAAGGCGACGAUGCGUAGCCGACCUGAGAGGGUGAUCGGCCACAUUGGGACUGAGACACGGCCCAGACUCCUACGGGGGGCAGCAGUGGGGAAUAUUGCACAAUGGGGGAAACCCUGAUGCAGCAACGCCGCGUGAGUGAUGACGGCCUUCGGGUUGUAAAGCUCUGUCUUCAGGGACGAUAAUGACGGUACCUGAGGAGGAAGCCACGGCUAACUACGUG